AUGAACGCUGGCGGCAUGUCUAAGGCAUGCAAGUCGAUCGGUUCGUAUGAGAUUACAUCAAAGACGAAUAGUGGCAAACGGGAGCGGAACACAUUGGUAACCUACCUCGAGCUCGUGAACAACCACUGGAAACGGUGGCUAAUACACGAUAUAGAUGGGGGGUCUUCGGACAUUCCCAUUGAAAGCUUCGGCGGCACGAGAGGGGCCUAUGUCCUAUCAGCUUGUUGGUGAGGUAAUGGCUCACCAAGGCUAUGACGGGUACCGGGCGUGAGAGCGUGGCCCGGCUCACUGGGACUGAGACACUGCCCAGACACCUACGGGUGGCUGCAGUCAAGAAUCUUCCGCAAUGCACGAAAGUGUGACGGAGCAAUGCCGCGUGAUUGAUGAAGGCCUUCGGGUCGUAAAGAUCUUUUAUCAGGGACGAACAAAUGACGGUACCUGAUGAAUAAGAGGUUGCUAACUCUGU
rnacentral:rRNA from 1 species